rnacentral:rRNA from 1 species
GAUGAACGCUGGCGGCGUGCUUAACACAUGCAAGUCGAACGGAAAGGCCGAAGCUUGCUUCGGUACUCGAGUGGCGAACGGGUGAGUAACACGUGGGUGAUCUGCCCUGUACUUCGGGAUAAGCUUGGGAAACUGGGUCUAAUACCGGAUAUGACGAUCUCUUGGAUGGGGUUGUGGAAAGCUUUUGCGGUAUGGGAUGAGCUCGCGGCCUAUCAGCUUGUUGGUGGGGUAAUGGCCUACCAAGGCGUCGACGGGUAGCCGGCCUGAGAGGGUGUACGGCCACAUUGGGACUGAGAUACGGCCCAGACUCCUACGGGAGGCAGCGGUGGGGAAUAUUGCACAAUGGGCGCAAGCCUGAUGCAGCGACGCCGCGUGGGGGAUGACGGCCUUCGGGUUGUAAACUCCUUUCGCAAUCGACGAAGCCUUUUGGUGACGGUAGGUUGAGAAGAAGCACCGGCUAACUACGUG